UUUUUUUUUUUUUUUUUUUUUUUUUUCUCUCUU
rnacentral:ribozyme from 1 species